GCCCAGCCGUAAACCUUUAUUUACAUCUUAAAUCGCCAGGGAACUACGAGCUAAGCUUAAAACCCAAAGGACUUGACGGUACCCCAUAUCCCCCUAGAGGAGCCUGUCCUAUAAUCGAUAAUCCACGUUUAACCUCACCAUUUUUAGUUAAUCAGCCUGUAUACCUCCGUCGUCAGCUUACCACGUGAGCGCCUAUUAGUGAGCUUAAUGUCCCCACCAAUACGUCAGGUCAAGGUGCAGCAAAUGAAAUGGGAAGAGAUGGGCUACACUUUCUAAAUUAGAAAAAACGAAAAACUACAUAUGAAACCUAGUUUGAAGGCGGAUUUAGCAGUAAAAAGGAAUCAGCAUGUCCAUUUUAACUCGGCACUGGGGUGUGU
rnacentral:rRNA from 1 species